rnacentral:rRNA from 1 species
GAUGAACGCUGGCGGCGUGCCUAAUACAUGCAAGUCGAACGCUUCACUUCGGUGAAGAGUGGCGAACGGGUGAGUAAUACAUAAGUAACCUGGCAUCUACAGGGGGAUAACUGAUGGAAACGUCAGCUAAGACCGCAUAGGUGUAGAGAUCGCAUGAACUCUAUAUGAAAAGUGCUACGGGACUGGUAGAUGAUGGACUUAUGGCGCAUUAGCUUGUUGGUAGGGUAACGGCCUACCAAGGCGACGAUGCGUAGCCGACCUGAGAGGGUGACCGGCCACACUGGGACUGAGAACCGGCCCAGACUCCUACGGGAGGCAGCAGUAGGGAAUUUUCGGCAAUGGGGGAAACCCUGACCGAGCAACGCCGCGUGAAGGAAGAAGUAAUUCGUUAUGUAAACUUCUGUCAUAGAGGAAGAACGGUGGAUAUAGGGAAUGAUAUCCAAGUGACGGUACUCUAUAAGAAAGCCACGGCUAACUACGUG